rnacentral:misc_RNA from 1 species
AACCAUAGAAACCUGCGGAGUACCUGCGGAGGGAUCAUUAUAGUAUAUGGAAUCUCCAUUCUAUAAACCCACUCUGCGUAUCUUGUAACUGUUGCUUCCAUGGGACUUGGUUCCGCCGCACCGGCUUCACGGCUGGUGAGCGCCCAUGGAAGGAGAAACAAAACUCUUCUUUGAAAUGUAGUCAGUCUGAACAAGUUUUUAUAAACGUUAAAACUUUCAGCAAUGGAUCUCAGAUCGGAA